UAAUGUUCCUUAUUCCCAUUUGCUUUACUUUUUCCCUUGUUUAUGUGGUUUAAGAGAUAAUCUUGCUUCUUGGUUAACGGGUAUUUAUCUUUCUGGACAAAUAAUACUAUUAAGGUAAAAGUCAUGGAGGAAUUAGAAGAUUGGACAUUAGGCCAAAUAGUAAAGCUGCAACAUCAUGAAAAUAUUAUUGAGAUGAUCCCUUUUCCAUGGUUGUAUAUUGUGUUGUUUAUUUAUGGUGUCAAUGCAAUUCAUGUUUCUUGUAUAUUUGCCAUUUUAAUCAAGAUGGUUUUCUGGAAGUAUCAAAUUGCUUGAAUAUAUGGUCUCCUGUGAAUUUUUAUCAUUGGUUUGAUCUUUCCAUAUAUAGAUUCAAUGGGUUUUAGAAUUUUAGAGUUGGAUCCUUACAACAAUUGAAAAUG
rnacentral:misc_RNA from 1 species